rnacentral:lncRNA from 1 species
CAGGAUGGCAAAGGUUCUUUUGUUGGCAAGGAGCACAGAGCCCAGAGAACUCAGGAAACAGAGAGCAGCCAGCCUGACUACAACAAAGGCAAGGGAACCCUCUGGAGCAGCUUGAGAGAAAAAUUGGAUCAAACCCAAUGGGGCUAUAUAAUCUGUAUCUUAUGAGUAACAAGAAACUAGUGAAGGAUUUGAGGGACUGGCCAAUGAUUAAGUUACCCUAUCCACUGACUUCUCAGGAUGGGAAAAAUCUACUUUGACAUCAGGAAGCGCUACGGCAAGAAAGAGGGGUAUAGACAGAAGGAGGGGCCAGAGAUUACACGAUGAUGUGAACAUGUAUGGCUGUAUCAGAUAGCAAAACUUUUGUGAGUACCUAACUGGGACAGACAGCUAAAGUGCAA